AUAUAUCGCCCAGCCCUAGUUUGAACUUAAAAACAUCUUGAUGGAUUUGUUUCUUACAAACAUGCAUUUUUCACUUCACAAGAUGUUAAUUGAUGUACUAGAGUGGUGUGGAUUUUUUAUUUAUUUUGGAGUUUAUCAUCUGUUUGGACUGUCAUUCUGACGGCACCCAUUCACUGCAGAGGAACCAUUGUAUGAAGUAUAUUUAUGCAGGUCUUACUCCAUUGGGUCUCAUUUAAUGAUUGCUUUGUGUACACUAGACCUCACAUCCAUAAACAACAGUGUGCUGUGCAACAAAUUCAGGGUUUUUCAGCCAGGUUUGCAUUGGGAGGUUAACUUGGACGGCUCACAUGUGAAGUUGUGAAGGAGGUCAAGAUGACGGAAAUCAACAAUGUCAGAUCAUCUUGAGAAUCCGGUAGAGUCAGACCAACUGCAGAACGAGUCCUCGCCAGUUCUCUCAGCCACCCUCCCUUUCCUCGUUCUCAUUUCAUUGCCAGGUAGCUCAUGGCACGGCAUGAUGCUGUGUAAGCUCCAUCUGUUUGGCGCGCGGCUGGUGACAAACUGCGAGAGAGGAGGCCUAGUCAGUCGCUGUGGAUUGCAUUGCGGUGGAACCAAUCGGCACCUUCCCACAUGGCCCAAAGAGAAAGCCCCCCGGGAAACCCUUCAACACGGCCAGCCUACAACCCAGCACACAAUUUGUGCUCCACCAAAUAUGAAGCCAACUUUCUACCAACCCUGACUUCACCCUUGAUCAGUACAAAACAAAAAAUGAGGGCAGCAGAAAAUGAAAUAAAAAUGAAGGAUUUGAGAGAUCAAAGCGUUAAAAGAGUAGUUCAGCCAAAAAUAAUAAUAAAAAAAAGUCUGGUAUUAUUUACUCAUGUUGUCCCAAAUUCAACUGCUGUUAUUCAUUUAUUUAUUUAUGGAACAUACACAUAUAUAUAUUAUUUUGACAAAAUUAAUAGAAGGACUCCUAUCACAGAAAGAUACAAAACAAAUUUUUGAACAUUUAUGUUUUUGGUUCCUCGCUGGUUUAACAACCUUCCCAUCCUUAUCCAGGCAGCCGAAUCCCUCACAAUAUUCAAGAAAUGACUAAAAACUAAUCUUUUUACUGAGGGAACUUAAAUGCAUCCCACUGAUGUUUACUCUUUGUUGUACUCCUCAUUUGUUAGUCAGUUUAGAUAAAAGUGCC
ensembl:lncRNA